UUUCUGUUAAAACCAGCGUGAGUUUUAGAGAGUCCUUUUGUUUUUGCCGUGCGCUGGUUCUACCAAAGCAGUCAACAACGCCUCCAAAAAAUCGAAGAAUCUUGAGUGUCCGUGAGGCAGUGGUUUCGACGGAUUUUCACGUAGUGCUUUUAGCAGGAGGCACCUCUAAGAACCUCGUUCCUCUCGUCUCCAAGGAGGUUCCCCAGGCGCUUCUUCCUGUGGCCAACCUCCCGGUUCUCUCCUACGUUUUGGAGCUUUUGGAACUCAGUAAUCUUAAGGAUCUCAUUGUUGCAUGGUUUUCUUCUCCGUAUUACUUAUUGCCCUAAAUUUUAUGGAAGGUGGUCGAAGGGGAAGAUGCGGCUCUUCGUGUUGGUGGUUGGAUUUCGGGUGCUUAUGUGGACUGUUUACAGUUGAGGUUGCCGCAGUCCCCGAGGAUGUUGGAACACUGGUGCAAUUAGGGCUAUUUCACACCAUCUUACAGCAAAAGACAUAUUGGUUGUAAGUGGAGAUAUUGUUUCUGAUGUUCCCCCUGGUGCAGUUGCCGCUGCUCAUAGACGACAUGAUGCUGUCGUAACUGCAAUGCUUUGCUCUGCUUCUAUCAGUGGACCUUUGGAGUCAGGAACCUCUAGUGGGAAGGACAAAAGCAAGAAACCUGGACUCUGUAAUAUUAUUGGAUUAGACCCACAAAGCAAUUUUUACUCUACACAGCAACAGGAGGGGCACUUGAGAAAGAUACAAGAAUUCAGAAGAGCAUACUCCGUGCAGUUGGACAGUUAUGCAAUUGGCUAGGGAGAAGUGAUGGAGACAACUCAUACGGUGGAGGGAAUAGUGUAUGGUUGCGAUUUUAUAAAUUUGUUUUAUAUGGGUUUUCUAUAGAGGCCGGGUAUUUAUCCCCACCAUGUUUAUGAAUAUAUGAAUCAUAGAGUUACAGAAAGUGGAAUACAAUAAAUCAUCAAUAAAUCAUCACCUUCAUUAGUGUUCGCCAGAGAAAAUGUAGUUGC